UCACGUAUUUCUCAAAGCAUCGCUAAUAUAAAAUGGUACAAACAUUCCGUACAAUCCCAAAAAUUGUUGGUUUUAAUGACGGUGAGAAGUCAAGUACCCUGCAAAUUGACGGCUGGUAAAAUUAUGGAAUUGUCUAUUGAAAACUUUGCAAUGAUGCUAAAAACGGCUGGAUCGUACUUCACAGUGUUGUUAUCGAUGCAGUAGACAAUUUAUUAAUAAGUAGAUAAUUUUGUCAAUAAUAUUUGUUAAUUGUUAACACAUUGCCAU